GGCCUAUUGAAUAUAAUUUUAGGUCGAUCUGCCCAAUGAUUUAAAAUUUAAUGGCUGCGGUAUUUUGACUGUACAAAGGUAGCAUAAUCAAUUGUUUUUUAAUUGGAAACUGGAAUGAAAGAAUUAAUGAGAUAUAUACUGUCUCAUAUAUAAUAAAUGAAUUUAAAUUUUUAGUUAAAAUGCUUAAAUUAUUUUAUGGGACGAUAAGACCCUAUAGAAUUUUAUAUUAAUAUAAAUAGUUAUGUUUAUAAAAUUUUUAUAUUAAUAUUUAGUUGGGAGGAUUAGUAAAUUUAAUAAACUUUACUUUAAAUUUAAACUUUGAUUUAAGAAUUUUUUUUUUGAUCUUGUAUUAUAAAAAUAAGAGUAAAUUACCUUAGGGAUAACAGCGUAAUAUCUUUUUAAAGGUCAUAUUAAUAAAGAUGAUUGCGACCUCGAUGUUGAAUUAAGAUAAAUUUUAGAUGGAGAGGUCUAAAAAUUAAGUCUGUUCGACUUUUAGAAUCU
rnacentral:rRNA from 1 species